rnacentral:tRNA from 1 species
GUCUUUGUAGUGUAACGGUAGCACACUCGGUGCGUAUUCGAGAGGUCAAGGGUUCGAGUCUCGCCGAGGGCA